CAAAUUGUUAGGCAUGAUAACUUAUAACCUAGUAGCAGCUAGCUGUAGACAACAUAAUACAUCGUAAAUAUUCGGCGAAAUUGUAGACCGACUUCAACAUAUUUAAUUAAAUACACACAACACAACAUAUAUAAAAAAUAAAAAUCGUAAAUAUUGGGGCGAAAUUGUAGACUGACUUCAACAUAUUCAAUUAAAUACACACAACACAACACUAUACUAAAAAAUAAAAAUCGUAAAUAUUCGGCGAAAUUGUAGACUGACUUCAACAUAUUCAAUUAAAUACACACAACACAACACUAUAAUAAAAAUAAAAAAUCAGGGCGAACAUACAGGGCGAACAGGUAUCAGGGCGAACGGUCUCAGGGCGAAACGGAACUAGGGCGAACUGUAAUUAGGCGAACUGAAAUCAGGGCGGACGGACCCGG
rnacentral:lncRNA from 1 species